rnacentral:rRNA from 1 species
UGGAGCUGAAAUCAGUCGAAGAUACCAGCUGGCUGCAACUGUUUAUUAAAAACACAGCACUGUGCAAACACGAAAGUGGACGUAUACGGUGUGACGCCUGCCCGGUGCCGGAAGGUUAAUUGAUGGGGUCAGCGCAAGCGAAGCUCUUGAUCGAAGCCCCGGUAAACGGCGGCCGUAACUAUAACGGUCCUAAGGUAGCGAAAUUCCUUGUCGGGUAAGUUCCGACCUGCACGAAUGGCGUAAUGAUGGCCAGGCUGUCUCCACCCGAGACUCAGUGAAAUUGAACUCGCUGUGAAGAUGCAGUGUACCCGCGGCAAGACGGAAAGACCCCGUGAACCUUUACUAUAGCUUGACACUGAACAUUGAGCCUUGAUGUGUAGGAUAGGUGGGAGGCUUAGAAGUGUGGACGCCAGUCUGCAUGGAGCCGACCUUGAAAUACCACCCUUUAAUGUUUGAUGUUCUAACGUUGACCCGUAAUCCGGGUUGCGGACAGUGUCUGGUGGGUAGUUUGACUGGGGCGGUCUCCUCCUAAAGAGUAACGGAGGAGCACGAAGGUUGGCUAAUCCUGGUCGGACAUCAGGAGGUUAGUGCAAUGGCAUAAGCCAGCUUGACUGCGAGCGUGACGGCGCGAGCAGGUGCGAAAGCAGGUCAUAGUGAUCCGGUGGUUCUGAAUGGAAGGGCCAUCGCUCAACGGAUAAAAGGUACUCCGGGGAUAACAGGCUGAUACCGCCCAAGAGUUCAUAUCGACGGCGGUGUUUGGCACCUCGAUGUCGGCUCAUCACAUCCUGGGGCUGAAGUAGGUCCCAAGGGUAUGGCUGUUCGCCAUUUAAAGUGGUACGCGAGCUGGGUUUAGAACGUCGUGAGACAGUUCGGUCCCUAUCUGCCGUGGGCGCUGGAGAACUGAGGGGGGCUGCUCCUAGUACGAGAGGACCGGAGUGGACGCAUCACUGGUGUUCGGGUUGUCAUGCCAAUGGCACUGCCCGGUAGCUAAAUGCGGAAGAGAUAAGUGCUGAAAGCAUCUAAGCACGAAACUUGCCCCGAGAUGAGUUCUCCCUGACUCCUUGAGAGUCCUGAAGGAACGUUGAAGACGACGACGUUGAUAGGCCGGGUGUGUAAGCGCAGCGAUGCGUUGAGCUAACCGGUACUAAUGAACCGUGAGGCUUAACCUUACAACGCCGAAG